rnacentral:rRNA from 1 species
ACAUGCAAGUCAACUUGACUGAAGGAGCAAUCUGACAGUAGAGUGGCGCAAGGGUGCGUAACGCGUAAGUAACUUGCCCCAAGGUAAGGAAUAACGUCGAGAAAUCGGCGCUAAUACCUCAUAAUGCAGCGGAUCCGCAUGGAUAUGUUGUUAAAGGUUUACCGCCUUGGGAUAGGCUUGCGUCUGAUUAGCUAGUUGGUGUGGUAACGGCACACCAAGGCUACGAUCAGUAACUGGUCUGAGAGGAUGAUCAGUCACACUGGAACUGAGACACGGUCCAGACUCCUACGGGAGGCAGCAGUGAGGAAUAUUGGGCAAUGCUCGAAAGAGUGACCCAGCAACGCCGCGUGGAGGAUGAAGGUAUUCUAUAUCGUAAACUCCUGUGAGAGCAGACGAAAGACAGAUUAUUAAUCUGGAUGACUGUAUGCUCAGAGGAAGCCCCGGCUAACUACGUG